rnacentral:lncRNA from 1 species
GGAACAGUUUUACUUACUGUUAAUUCUUUCCAUUUACCAGUGCCUCCACUUGUUUAGUGUUAGAAAAUAAUGGUUAAAAUGUGGUCCUGAUACAAAACCAUGGAGACUAUAUAAGAGUAUUUUUUUAACAAACUGGAAAACAAGACUAAAAAAAAAAAAAAGUUUCAUUUUGCUAGGAAUAGUUUUCCACUGCACAGAAUAAUGAGUUACGAGUUUCCAAAAUGUAAUGGAGCCCUGGAGCUGCUUCAUCUUUGUCCUUGAAACUUCUGAAAUGCCUGAAUCAAGCCUGGGCUCACUUCCAAAUGUGAAACUGUGGGAUUCCUGCACUCCUACAUAUGAGACCCAGACUGAACUCAAAGGACUGACCAGUUUACCUCCCCAACCAGACUACUUUCUUCAUAGUGCACAAUUGAAAUUGGAGUACACUCGGGUUUCCUUACUUUGAAAAAGCUCAGAAGGAGCAUUUACAUCUCCUAGUGAAAGACUGCAGAAUGGAGCUGAAAUUAAGUUAUUAGAGUUCACGAUUUGUCUUGGCCCAGAGCCUAAUCCAGUUUAUAAUCCAAGAUCUAUGUUGGAGUCUCUGCAUCAGGUUUCCAUGGAAAUAAAUCAGAGGCAUUGCUUUGGGAGCAACCUACAUGGAUCUACACGUCUUGCUGCUGCAAUUCAUAAACAGAAUAUUGACAAAUUCCUCAGAUUAUAAUUAUAACGAUCUGAAAAAUCAAAUGGCAAGAGUUUGAGAUGGGACUAGUUCACAUGUUGGAGUUGAAGUCAAAGAAGUCUGGACAAAUGGUGCUGAGUCAUGUAUAUAAUAAUUUCUUCAACAACUGCUUCCCAUAUUUGCAUGUUCAACUUUGCUAGGGAAUCGUUUCUCAGUAUAUUUCAUGGACUCAGAUGUCAGAUCAAGGGAGAAACAUUCACUACAACCAGAGGUUACAGAGCUUAACAGACCUACAAAUUAACUUCAAGCUGUCAUUUGGUCUUAGAUAUGGUGAGCUUAAGCUUAUGGUCUUUUUUAAUUUAGAAAGACUAACAGGGAAAAAUGACAUGCAGAGUGACAGUCUUACAGAACUCUAGGAAUGGAUAUUUUAUAUGUUGAAACUAUGUCUGUACCAUUUUGAAUAAAGGCAAUUAUAUUCAUAUCUGGCUGAAAAUUAACCUGUAAUCUGUUAGGAUGUGAUGUGUAUAUUGAACAACUGCUAGGGGCAAAGAUCUGAAGUUUUUGUUGUUUGCAGAGAUCAUAUCUAGCUCUUCUGUGCCUCUAAUUCUAAACUUCUUGCACCUUGAGUACUGCAUUCAGUUUUGGGCCCCUAACUACAAGAAAGACAUUGAGGCCUAAGGAAUCUGGAGCACAAAUCUUAUGGAGAGCAGCUGAGGGAACUGGGGUUGUAUAGUCUGGAGAAGAGGAGGUUCAGGGGAGACCUUAUCGCUCUCUACAUCUACCUGAAGGGAGAUUGUGACAAGGUGAGUAUUGGCCUCUUCUGCUGCAUAACUACUGAUAGGAUGAGAGGGAAUGGCCUCAAGUUGCACCAGAAGAGAUACAGGUUGGAUAAUAGGAAAAAUUUAUUCUCUGAAAGUGUGGUCAGGUACUAGAAUGGGCUGCCCAGGGAGGUGAUUGAGACACCGUCUCCAGAGAUGUUCAAGAAAUGUUUAGAUGCUGGGGCAUGGUUUAGUGGGGAAAUAUUGGUGGUAGGUGGAUGGUUGGACUUGAUGAUCUUGGAGGUCUUUUCCAACUUUGGUGAUUCUAUGAUUCUGUGAUUCUAAAAGAACAGUUGCUGCAGUUUUCCCAAAUCUUUAAAAACUUGAGGUGGACUACGAAGAAUGUAAAAUUGACUUUGAAUAGAUUUCAAUGGAGAAUGCAGUGAUAUGUUUGCCAAAUACUAAAUGUGAAAGUGUUACGUUGAAAUCUCACAUGGAAAUACAUAUAACAAUGUGAAAACUGUGAAGGAAUCAUUAGUAUAUUUAGCAUUUAAUAUAUUUUUUCAGGCUCUCUGUCAAUAUUUUGGAUGUUAUUUAGAGUUCUUUUAAUAUUAUUAUUUUUUUAAUGAAGAAAUUACACCUCGGAG